GACGAACGCUGGCGGCGUGCUUAACACAUGCAAGUCGAACGGUGAACGAGGGAGCUUGCUCCCUCCGGAUCAGUGGCGAACGGGUGAGUAACACGUGAGCAAUCUGCCCCGAACUCUGGGAUAAGCGUUGGAAACGACGUCUAAUACCGGAUACGACGCGGGAGGGCAUCCUCUCCGCGUGGAAAGAACUUCGGUUCGGGAUGGGCUCGCGGCCUAUCAGCUUGUUUGGGAGGUAACGGCUCACCAAGGCGACGACGGGUAGCCGGCCUGAGAGGGUGACCGGCCACACGGGGACUGAGAAACGGCCCAGACUCCUACGGGAGGCAGCAGUGGGGAAUAUUGCACAAUGGGCGCAAGCCUGAUGCAGCAACGCCGCGUGAGGGACGACGGCCUUCGGGUUGUAAACCUCUUUUAGCAGGGAAGAAGCGAAAGUGACGGUACCUGCAGAAAAAGCACCGGCUAACUACGUG
rnacentral:rRNA from 1 species